GAAUAUUAGUCAAUGCUCGAAAGAGUGAACUAGCUAACUGAAAUCAAUUAUAAAAAUUGAUAACAUAAGGGAAAAUAAUGAUAUUACCUUAUUAUUAGUGUCGUCAAAAACUGGUGCCAGAAGACUCGGUAAGGCCUGAGACACAAACGUUAAUCGUCUUAAUCAGGCGUAAAGGGUUUGUAGGCGGCUUUUAAAUUAACUUAUUAAUAAAAAUAAAAUAAGAAUAAAAGCUAGAAUCAAAUAGAGGAUAUAUUACAAAAUGCUUAGAGUAGGUCUGAUAUCCUUAGAUACUAAGUAGAAUAUUAAAGGCGAAAGCUUUUUUCCAUUAAUGAUUGACGCUCAGAAACGAAGGUGAGGAUAGGAAAUAGGAUUAGAUACCCCAAAUACCCCUCUCUGUCAACGAUGAAUGGUAGUUAUUAGUAAAAAUUAUUAAUAGCAAUGUUAACACGAUAACCAUUCCGCCUUGUGAGUACUACUGCAAAGUUGAAAACAAAAAAAUUAGUCGGUUUCGGAGCAAACGAAGUGAAGCAUGUUAUUUAAUUC
rnacentral:rRNA from 1 species